CGCGGGGGGGAAUUCACUUCUCAGCAGUUUGAAGCUUUUCUGACUGAGAAAGGAAUUCAACACGAUUUGUCUAGUCCUCGCUCGCCAUGGCAGAAUGGACUUGCGGAACGGGCAAAUCAGACAUUGCUUCAAGGGUUAAAAACCUUGCUGCAUGAUGCCAAUCUUCCAGAGAGUUAUUGGGCCGAAUCUCUCUCGUGUUUUGUUUACAGUUACAAUCGCAGGUUAUCUUCAGCGAUUGGUUGUACCCCCCUAUGAGAAGAUGUUUGGCAAGAAGCCAUACAUCAAACACAUGAAGAUUUUUGGUUCUGACAUGUGGGUUCGCUCACCACAAAACUCCAAGUUAGACAAGCGUGGAUUGCAUGGUAUCUUUCUAGGUUAUCAGAAAGGGUCUUACAGAAUAAUGAUGACUGACUCUAAGACAAUUAAGCUCACGAGAAGUGUCGAGUACAAUGCAAAGUGGUGGGAGAAUGUGGGAAUUUUCCAAUGUUAUCCUGAUGACGGUGAUGAGACUGAGGAUAGUCAAAAGCAACCACAACAGCCCACACCCACUGAUGAAGGUUCUGAGUCUGAAUCUGAAACUGAAUCGGGUGAUUCAGAGGAUUUCGAGAGUGCGAAAGCCUCUAUGCGACCCUCUGAAAGCUCUGAUCAAGAAUUGGAGGAACCAUUGUUCACAAUAGGUCGUUUUUCUCCUAAGAAGGAAGAGGAGAGUGUUGAAGACUUAAGGCUAAUUCGUAGGUCACAGAGAGCCACAAAAGGCAAACCUCCAAAGAGAUUUGCUGAUGAGUUUGCUACGAUAGCAGUAACAGCUGUUAAAAGCUCCAAGAAGGUAUUUGAACCUUCAAGUUUCCAAGAAAUCCAGGGUUUGGAUUCAAAGGAAGCUGAGCCAUGGUUAAAUGCCAUGAAGGCUGAGCUUGAUUCCUUAGAAAGGAACAAAACAUGGGAGCUAGUUCCAGUAGUUCCAGGAAUGAAACUGCUUGGAAGCAAAUGGGUCUUCAAAGCGAAGACAGAUCAAAAUGGCAAGAUAGUCAGACACAAAGCCAGAUUGGUAGCCAGAGGUUUUGCACAGGUACCAGGUCAAGACUAUCACGAGACCUAUUCACCCACAGUGAGAUAUGAAAGCAUUAGGCUUAUGCUUAAGCUAGCUGCAGAGGAAAAUCUACACAUUAGUCACCAUGAUAUUAAUACAGCUUUUCUGUACGGAUCUCUAGAUGAAUCACUUUAUAUGCUUCCACCUGAUGGCGUACAGGUAAAACAGGGAUUUGUUUGUGCUCUGAAGAAAUCCCUUUAUGGUCUCAAACAAAGUGCACGGUGUUGGCACACAAAACUCACUGAAGUAUUGUUUUCUCUAGGUUUUCAGCAAGGGAAAGCUGAUCCAUGUGUAUUUGUCAAAGAGGAGGGGCAAAAGAAACUGUACUGUUUGUUUUAUGUUGAUGAUUUAUUAUUCUUUUGGAAAGAUGUUGCAAUGUACAAUAGCGCCCUAGCUCAACUGAAAGAGCACUUUGACAUGAAAGAUCUUGGUGAGGUAAACAACUACCUAUCUCUGGAAAUAGAGAGAGAUCAAGAUGGUAACAUUCUAGUACACCAGUCACGGAAAAUUGCUGAUGUGUUAAGCAAACUAAAUCUGAUGGAUGCUAACCCUGUAAACACACCGAUGACAACAGGUUAUCAGGUAGAUGACACUGAAGAAGCAUUUUCUGACACUACACUGUACAGGAGUGUGCUAGGCAAGCUAAACUUCAUUGCCAGAUGUUCAAGACCAGACAUUGCUGUUAGCUGUAAUUUGCUAAGCAGACAAGUCAACAAUCCUAGUGUCAAGCAUUGGAAAGCUCUGAAACGCAUAGCGCGGUAUUUGAAAGGCACUAUGCAUUACAGACUGAGAUUUAACAAUCAGAAGUCUGGUGGUCUUGAGAUAUUUGCAGAUGCAAGUUUUGGAAGUGACGCUACAGACAGGAAAGGUACGUCUGGAGUUUGCUACAUGUACAAUCAGAGUCUGUUUGAUUGGUCAUGCAAGAAGCAAACAACAGUUAGCUUAAGUACUUGUGAAGCCGAACUGAAUGCACUGUCUUAUUCACUUAAGGAUUGUGAAUGGUUAGUACAAUUGUGCAAAGAUAUGAAAAUUCCUGUCAAAUGUCCAAUCCAGGUUUACCAGGACAACAAAGCAUGUUUGGCUUUGCUGAAGUCUGAAGGUUGUAAGCAAAGCACAAAGCACUUGCAAUUAAAGUUGCAGCAUGCUAGGGAAUGUAUUCAGAAGGGACUCGUAACGGUGUCCUAUAUGCCAGGUAAUGAAAUUCCUGCUGAUGUAUUGUCCAAGAUUGUAUCGAGGGAUCAACACUGUACCUAUGUGCAGAAGUUGGGUUUGUACUGAUAUUGUACAAACACGCUGCCCAGUGAUGUUCACAGAAAGGGGGAGGAUGUUGGUUUCUGCUUUCCUUCACUGUGCAGCGAAAGGGCUUGUCACGAGAAAGGUGUUUACAUUCCACAGUCUGUACUGUUGGAGUUUCUCACGGGAAAGGGAGGCUGGAUGUGACGUACACUGGUUUCCUGUUUUUCACUGUGUGAUUCUCUCCGAGCUGUCGAGGAGAGAGGAUGCAUUUUCUGCUCCGGCAGAGGCAAGAUGUCUUUCUGUAAUAUACCAGCUUUGAACUGUAAAUAAAGCAAUAUAGAGUAUG
rnacentral:lncRNA from 1 species